rnacentral:ncRNA from 1 species
UGAUCGGCAAUGAUUGGGAAUAGUAGUGAAUAUGAAGAGGUUUAGAGAGUUGACGGCUGGUGAAAGUCAAUCCAUUCUAUUCAUGAACUCACCCAUAAGCCACAUUUGUGAACGGUUUUUACCAAGUAAUAAAUGUCGUGUUCCACGUUACGGAAACAAGUGAAUGUAUUUUUACAUUAAUUUGGGUGGUACCGCGGGAAAUCCUCUCGUCCCUUUU